rnacentral:rRNA from 1 species
UAGUCCACGCCGUAAACGAUGAUUACUCGGUGCUGGCGAUAUAAUGUCAGUGCCCAAGCGAAAGUGAUAAGUAAUCCACCUGGGGAGUACGAUCGCAAGGUUGAAACUUAAAGGAAUUGACGGGGGCCCGCACAAGCGGUGGAGCAUGUGGUUUAAUUCGAUGAUACGCGAGGAACCUUACCUGGGCUUAAAUGCAGUCUGACAGAUUGGGAAACCAGUUUUUCUUCGGACAGAUUGCAAGGUGCUGCAUGGUUGUCGUCAGCUCGUGCUGUGAGGUGUCGGGUUAAGUCCCAUAACGAGCGCAACCCCUAUUCUUAGUUGCCAGCGGAUAAUGCCGGGGACUCUAAGGAAACUGCCCGCGCAAGCGGAGAGGAAGGUGGGGAUGACGUCAAAUCAUCACGGCCCUUACGUCCAGGGCUACACACGUGCUACAAUGGUUGGUACAAAGGGCAGCUACCACGCGAGUGGAUGCUAAUCUCUAAAGCCAAUCUCAGUUCGGAUUGG